ensembl:lncRNA
CAACAACAAACCUUCUAAAGUUUGACUUGUAAUUUGACCAGAGAGACAUUCAUUCUCCAACUAUAAAAGAAUUUUUUAUAUGAAACCAGAAAACCUGCCGUUAUUCUGUCCUCUCAUGGCAAUUCUUUCAGGAGGAUCCACUGCUGCAUCUGUUGCUCCGGCCUUCUUCCAUCCUGACAUGUAGAGGCAGAGAUCAGGGAUGCCAAUCUCCUCUGGAGCAACAGGCCGAGUUGGGAUCGGAGUGGACACGUCGAUUGCUUGGGUGCCCAGUGGGGUCAAGCAGGGUUCGAGGCCCUCCUACACACAUUCUGAUUCUUAUCUGAAGAGAUACUUAGAAACCCAUCCUGAGGUCAGACACAGAUGUAUGGCCACUGGCUCAUGGAAGGCGAAUGAUCAUUUAUACAAUCCUGGACCUGAUGGUGACAACGUGAACAUGUACUCAUUGGAUUCUGGAAAAAAAACCUGCCAUACAUCACAAGCGCUGGACACAACUGCCUCCCAGAUACAAAGCGGGACGAGUGAUGGGGACUCUGUGGCCGCACCUGGUCUAUCCAGGAAAUCAUCAGUUUGUGCUAUUCUAUAAGUUUCUAUGCCUUUCAUCCAACAAAUCCUGUAUUUGCUCAUUUAAACUGAUCUAAUGUGUCAUGAUCUACAUUUGUAUUAUUACAUAGAUGCCCCAUGAACAAAUUAUUAUUCAGUAUUACAUAUACAACAAACAACAUCAGUACAAAAAUCCUUACAAGUAGUUAACCCACAGGUUAAGACAUUUGUCAUAAAUAUUUCUCAGGUUUCAACCCUUCCAGCCUGCUAUUGUAAAACUGUUAGAUGCACUUCUGUAGGGCAGACAGGAGAGGCUUCAAGCCAGUACAGAAGCGCAUCUAGCAUUGGGCCACACAAUUUCGCUCGUAUACUUCUGCUCGCUUGGUGGUCCCACCCACGAAAGGUAAAGCACGGAUGUUCUCGGUUCUGGCUCCGUUGUGGUGGAACGACCUCCCCCUCCCACUCAGAACUGCGGAAACUGUGUCUACAUUCAAGAAAGGUCUGAAAACUCACCUUUUCCAGACCCAUUUCGCCCAAGAUCUCUCCAGCUCAUGUACGGUGUAAAUGUUCAUGCACCGUAACUUCAUGAGCAUCACCAGAUAAAGCCUUUAUUCAGCCGCUACUCCGGCAUUGUUUUUGUUUGCUUGUGUAUCUUAUAACAUUACACACACACACACACAUUUUCAGAACCGCUUGUCCCAUACGGGGUCACGGGGAACCGGAGCCUACCCGGCAACACAGGGCGUAAGGCCGGAAGGGGAGGGGGACACACCCAGGACGGGACGCCAGUCCGCCGCAAGGCACCCCAAGCGGGACUUGAACCCCAGACCCACCAGAGAGCAGGACUGCGGCCCAACCCACUGCGCCACCGCGCCCCCGCGCCCCCGCUCUUAUAACAUUAUUUUAAAAAAAAAAUAAGAAUUUGGUUGGAGGGUAUCAGGAUUUGUCUAUCCUGUGUUUUAUGCACCUACCUGAACGAUGAACAUCGGUGCAGCAAGUGGUAGGUAACAAACUAGGUUUGCUUGAGACUUUCAUGUCUGCAGCUAUGUCUCUUUCUCUUAAUGUAAUGCAUAAAUUGUAUUUUUGCUGAGAUGUACGUCACUUUGGACAGAAGCGUCUGCUAAAUGAAUAAAUGUAAAUGUAUUUCAUACCA